rnacentral:rRNA from 1 species
UACGUAUGGUGCAAGCGUUAUCCGGAAUGACUGGGUGUAAAGGGAGCGUAGACGGUUGUACAAGUCUGAUGUGAAAGCCCACGGCUCAACUGUGGGAAUGCAUUGGAAACUGUAGAACUAGAGUAUCGGAGAGGCAAGUGGAAUUCCUAGUGUAGCGGUGAAAUGCGUAGAUAUUAGGAGGAACACCAGUGGCGAAGGCGGCUUGCUGGACGAAAACUGACGUUGAGGCUCGAAAGCGUGGGGAGCAAACAGG